AUGGCGGCUUGCCUGAACGCUAAGCCCUUCACGCCCCCGCUUGUCUCUCCUCACCCACACUCCAAACACUCCUUCCGGCUCGCUAGGGUCAAGUGCUCCGCCGCCGCCGCACCGUCGAAGCGCUACACAAUCACCCUCCUUCCGGGCGAUGGCAUUGGCCCCGAGGUCAUCUCAGUCGCCAAAAACGUCCUCAACCUCGCUGCCUCCAUCGAAGGGAUUGGGUUUAAAUACCAAGAAAUGCCUGUGGGUGGAAGUGCCUUGGAUUUGACUGGAGUGCCGUUACCAGAUGAGACCCUUUCGGCAGCUCUGCAAUCCGAUGCGGUUCUGCUUGGAGCAAUUGGGGGGUACAAAUGGGACAAAAACGAAAAGCAUUUAAAACCAGAAACUGGGUUGCUUAAGCUUCGGGAAGGUCUUAAAGUGUUUGCGAAUUUGAGGCCGGCAGUUGUUUUACCACAGUUGGUCGAUGCCUCUACUUUGAAGAGAGAGGUCGCGGAAGGGGUUGACCUUAUGGUUGUAAGAGAGCUCACUGGUGGCAUCUACUUUCGACAGCCAAGGGGUUUUGGCACCAACGAAAACGGUGAGGAGAUUGGUUUCAAUACCGAGGUGUAUGCUGCAUAUGAGGUUGAUCGUAUUGCUCGAGUUGCAUUUGAGACCGCUAGGAAGCGGCAGGAAAAGCUCUGCAGUGUUGACAAAGCAAAUGUCUUGGAGGCAUCAAUGUUUUGGAGAAAAAGAAUCAUGGAAAUAGCCUCGGAAUAUCCUGAUGUUGAACUCUCACACAUGUAUGUCGAUAAUGCUGCAAUGCAACUUGUUCGUAAUCCAGAACAGUUUGAUACAAUUGUAACAAACAACAUUUUUGGCGAUAUAUUAUCUGAUGAGGCCUCAAUGAUUACUGGAAGUAUUGGGAUGCUUCCAUCUGCGAGUCUUGGAAAAUCAGGUCCUGGACUUUUUGAACCUAUACAUGGUUCGGCUCCUGAUAUUGCUGGACAGGAUAAGGCAAACCCAUUAGCAACGGUUCUCAGUGUUGCUAUGCUUUUGAAGUACGGUCUAGGAGAAGAAAAUGCUGCCCGGAGAAUUGAGGCAGCAGUUCUAGAUACCUUGGAUCGGGGGUUUCGAACGGUUGACAUCUAGUCCUCUGGAACGAAGUUGGUAGGAUGCAAAGAAAUGGGUGAAGAGGUAUUGAAGUCGGUUGAUUCUCGAGUUCCUUCUCCCGUAUGA